rnacentral:rRNA from 1 species
UUUUACAAUGGAGAGUUUGAUCCUGGCUCAGGAUGAACGCUAGCUACAGGCUUAACACAUGCAAGUCGAGGGGAAACGACAUCGAAAGCUUGCUUUUGAUGGGCGUCGACCGGCGCACGGGUGAGUAACGCGUAUCCAACCUGCCCACCACUUGGGAAUAACCUUGCGAAAGUAAGACUAAUGCCCAAUGAUAUCCCACGAAGGCAUCCGAAUGGGAUUAAAGAUUUAUCGGUGAUGGAUGGGGAUGCGUCUGAUUAGCUUGUUGGCGGGGUAACGGCCCACCAAGGCAACGAUCAGUAGGGGUUCUGAGAGGAAGGUCCCCCACAUUGGAACUGAGACACGGUCCAAACUCCUACGGGAGGCAGCAGUGAGGAAUAUUGGUCAAUGGGCGAGAGCCUGAACCAGCCAAGUAGCGU